rnacentral:rRNA from 1 species
AUUGAACGCUGGCGGCAGGCCUAACACAUGCAAGUCGAACGGUAACAGGAAGAAGCUUGCUUCUUUGCUGACGAGUGGCGGACGGGUGAGUAAUGUCUGGGAAACUGCCUGAUGGAGGGGGAUAACUACUGGAAACGAUAGCUAAUACCGCAUAACGUCGCAAGACCAAAGAGGGGGACCUUCGGGCCUCUUGCCAUCGGAUGUGCCCAGAUGGGAUUAGCUAGUAGGUGGGGUAACGGCUCACCUAGGCGACGAUCCCUAGCUGGUCUGAGAGGAUGACCAGCCACACUGGAACUGAGACACGGUCCAGACUCCUACGGGAGGCAGCAGUGGGGAAUAUUGCACAAUGGGCGCAAGCCUGAUGCAGCCAUGCCGCGUGUAUGAAGAAGGCCUUCGGGUUGUAAAGUACUUUCAGCGGGGAGGAAGGGAGUAAAGUUAAUACCUUGGCUCAUUGACGUUACCCGCAGAAGAAGCACCGGCUAACUCCGUG